CCUCUUGUGUAUUAUGAACAGAAGAGAUGGAACCAGAAUUCCAUAAGCAAUAACAAGGAUGACGGUAAUUGGAAAUUCCACAGAGAGUUAAGGCACAUCACCCAGACAUAUUCUCUCACAUGUGCGUAAAAGGUCUAUGUUAUUCUUGGUGAAAUCCUUAUGUUGUCAAAAGUCACAGAAUCAUCCAAGUUUCAAAAUCUGGCCAAAAUAGUUAAAAGAGGGAUAAGUAUGAAUCAACAAACAUUGUCAAGAACUUUCUUGAGAAAAAGAGAAUGAAACAAGACACUUUAAUGGGAUGACUCAGGAUCUAUGUUGCUUCAUAUUUUUGACAGCAAAA
rnacentral:lncRNA from 1 species